CACGACUCUCGCCCCUGCCCGCACCUCCCUCUUCGCACGACUCUCGCCCCUGCGCGCACGACCUCCACCUCCUCCUCCCGCGCCGUUCGCCGCCCCGCAAACUCCGGCAGCCGUUAACCGCCCUUCGCCGCGGGAGCAGCCGCUCGCCACUGCAGCCGCCGCCCGCGGGAGAAGCCGCGGGAGCCGCUCGCCGCUCGCCGCGGGUCGCCCUUUGCCAUGGUCGUUGCCGGAGCCGCCCCGCCCCUGGAUCCGCUCGCCGUUGGUCCCUGCCGGAGCCGCCCCGCCCCUCCCCGGCGCUCCAACCCCAACUCCCCGACUCUCCAUCCUCCCCGCUUCUCAUCACCACCGCCGCACUACGCGAAGCCCAUCUCUCUCCAGCCUCCCUGCCCGCAUGCAGCCCUCGCCCUCGGCACCGCACGGCCAGGCCCUCUCUCCUCGGUUAUGGCCACCAUGGAAAACCUGACCCGUAGGGCAUACCCUUCUCCUCUGAUGCGUAACACCCAUCCCUGCCCCGGCGGUUGGGAUCAUGUCCGCCAUCAUGAGCAGCUGCUCCGCAUCCGAGUGCACCGACUCAGAGGUAGAGGUUGGGCUGUAGUUCUUGGACGCCAAGGAAGAACGCAAGUUGUUGCCGCCGCCGAAGAUGAAAACUGGUGGUAACUGGAAGCAUGUAGUUUCUCUGUAGGACUCCUGGUGUGCUGCUGGAAUAAACUGGAGAUCGAGAUGGUGGAGGCAGCCAGUGUCGUGGCCGAGCGCUGGGGAGCUUGUCGGCGUUUUGAUGGAGAAGGUCGGCCGCCUCCUCUCCCCACCAAGUCUCUUUGGCCCAUAGAUCGAGUUCAUGGUUGAUAAGGAAGGUGUGGUCGAUUUCACUAGGCUGGAUCCGAAGGUCCCGAAGUCCUAUGGCAUGAACUGGCCACGGCGCAUCCGGCUGGAUGCACUUGCUCAACACCUUUCCAUCUCUGUACAAUCAGGUAGAUAUUUUCUCACGUGCCAAAUAUUAUUUUUAGGUUGCCAAAUAGUAGUCUAGGAACUAUAGAAAGUGGAUUGCUGAGUUUGCCAAGCAUAAUAGCACACCUAUUAUCAGAUGACCUGAAGAGUAUAUCAAGCAAAGAUGCUUUCAGAUUUAUGCAUGCCUAUAUUAGGUUCCUACUUGUGUGAAGAUAACACUUUGCAUCAGGCUUGUGAGCAACCGUAAGUUGUUUUGCAUGUGAUACUACUUGUGUGAUUAUUUUUACCUUCGAAAAAUUUCCUUCCUAUUAUAUAUCAUAUGGAAUUCUUCAACCAGAGGAGAGCAACUCAAUGAGUUUGCAUACAUUCAGUCAUCUAUGUUGAUGCAACUCAACUAACAAAGAGUAUUUAAGAAAAGACUGCAGUUUGUAAAGCCAGUGGACAAAUUAGUUCUGCACAGUCCGGCAUUAGCGGCGUGCAUGCAGUAAUUCAUCAAUGUUGGGGGUCAGUGCUAUGAACAUCAAGCUUCACCUCUACCAGUGGCAUUAAUUUGUUGUUUUUGUUUUAUAUCAAAUAAUUUACCAUUCUUCAGUUUUGCAUAUCAUAUUUUGGUUCUGAAUUUGUAUUUGGAUAUUUCUGCAACCUUAUUUCUAACAUGCCUUCAACUACUGUUUAUCGCACUAAAGGCAAAAAAUGUGGAAUAGAGAACUAUUACGGGUAAUACGCAUUGUUUUCUCAUGCAGACUACAAAUUCUCUGUAAUUCACGUGGUUUUGGAAUUUGUUUAAUGUGCAAAAUAUGUACAAGGCUUGUGAGCGGCCAUUUUUAGCCAAGUACUUGUAUAAGUUCUCUUGUAACUUAGCUAUUAGCCUAUUACACUAGUAGAAAAGGGGGCAAUGGUCCAGGCCGGGUCAGCCCAUUAGUCCCGGUUCAAUCCAGAACCGGGACCAAUGGGGGCAUUGGACCCGGUUCGUGAGCCCCGGGGGCCGGCCGGGCCACGUGGGCCAUUGGUCCCGAUUCGGCUGGACCAAUUGGUUCCGAUUAGUGGGACGAACCGGGACCAAUGUGCCUCGCUCCUGACCCACAAC